rnacentral:rRNA from 1 species
UACGUAGGGACCGAGCGUUGUCCGGAUUCAUUGGGCGUAAAGAGCUCGUAGGCGGCCACUCAAGUCGAAUGUGAAACCUCGAGGCUUAACCUCGAGCCUGCAUUCGAUACUGGGCGGCUAGAGUCUGGUAGGGGGAUCUGGAAUUCCUGGUGUAGCGGUGGAAUGCGCAGAUAUCGGGAGGAACACCAGUGGCGAAGGCGGUUACCUGGAGCUUUGCUGACGCUGAUGCGCGAAAGCGUGGGGAGCAAACAGGG